rnacentral:rRNA from 1 species
CAGUCGCCACGGGAAUACGAAGGGUGCAAGCGUUAAUCGGAAUUACUGGGCGUAAAGCGUGCGUAGGCGGUUUGUUAAGUCUGUUGUGAAAUCCCCGGGCUCAACCUGGGAAUGGCAAUGGAUACUGGCAAGCUAGAGUGUGUCAGAGGAUGGUGGAAUUCCCGGUGUAGCGGUGAAAUGCGUAGAGAUCGGGAGGAACAUCAGUGGCGAAGGCGGCCAUCUGGGACAACACUGACGCUGAGGCACGAAAGCGUGGGGAGCAAACAGGAUUAGAGACCCCGGUAGUCCCUGUCUCUUAUAA